ACCGUGCUGCCCCUGAUUAUGAACCAGUGGUUAGCAUUUCCAGAGAUGACCAGCAUCCAGACAGGUGAGCAUGACAGGCGUGUGGAUGAGGGCUCCGCCCAGAGGUGGAACUCAGUGGAAACGUGGAAAACCACAGCCACUCUCCUGGACCAUGACACCAAGUCACCUUCCUCUUGGGGUUGAUUGACCCACGUUGCCCCUGAGCCCUGGGAGGUUAACCUGGAACGACUCCCUUGAAAAUUGAUGUUGGAUCUUUUCCAUGUUUCUGC